UACGUAGGGUGCAAGCGUUGUCCGGAAUUAUUGGGCGUAAAGAGCUUGUAGGCGGUUUGUCGCGUCUGCUGUGAAAUCUCAAGGCUCAACCUUGAGCUUGCAGUGGGUACGGGCAGACUAGAGUGUGGUAGGGGAGACUGGAAUUCCUGGUGUAGCGGUGAAAUGCGCAGAUAUCAGGAGGAACACCUAUUGCGAAGGCAGCUCGCUGGGACGUAACUGACGCUGAGACGCGAAAGCGUGGGGAGCAAACAGG
rnacentral:rRNA from 1 species